GGAUGAAAAUUGAGACUUGGACCUAGAACGGAAAGAAAUCGAUUUAUGGACGAGUAUGUCCUUUUCACAUUUGUGGUAUCGAGAGUUCCAGGUUAGCUCGGGUUGGAGGCCGUCGAGAUAUUAUCACCCUAUCGAGUUAACGUUAUCGGAGUAAGUAAACUCAAGUGAUUCGAGUCUAUGGCAUGUAUAGGGUUUUAAUGUGAGUAUGUAAUAUUAUGAUUUAGCCAAAGGCAUUGGCUUGUUAUUAAGGUAGUAUUAGUCAUGUAAAUUGGCCUAUGUCGGCUAAUGACGUUAUGGGCCCAUAUGAUUAUUCUUAUGCAUUUAUGUUAUUAUUUCUUGUGAUGUGGCUUACAACAUGUAUGCCUAGAUAUUGAAUUGAGAUUCAUUGAUGAGCUAGUAACUAAUGCAGGAUUAAGUGAUUGGUAAAUAGUUAAUAA